GUCAAAAGCAGAGAUGGAAGCACUUAAGGAGGCCAAAGGGGUCAGUAAGUAUGUUGAAGUGCCAGGUGCUCUCCUUCCCCAGGAAGAGUGUCCUGAAAUUGUUGCAGAACAGCUUUACAGAUUUCUGCAAGAGAUAUAUGAGCUGUAGGCUUAUGAUGAUUAUCAGCUCAAGUAGUCAAAGGUACCGAAUUUUUUCCCAUGUGCAACAGUGAAGUUAAUUGGUUAAAUAUGAGAGUAUGAGAUUACAGUGCCUUCACCUUUAUACAUGAUAAAUAUGAAGAUUUCCUAAGAGUAUGAGUUUAUAUCUGGAUUGAUAGAUCUUUCUCCUCUUGAACCAAACCUAGAACUAAAGAACGUUGAGCGCUAAACCGAUCUAAGACAAAUAAUGUUCUUAUUCAAUAUGCUGCUAUAGCGUUUUCUUAGUUGUGAUUGUUCUUUUUUUAUAUAUUAAAAAUUACAGAUACAUCAGUUCUUUAUGUAUGAGGAUAUAAAUUUUACAUUGAUCUUUUGGUU
rnacentral:misc_RNA from 1 species